GACGAACGCUGGCGGCGUGCUUAACACAUGCAAGUCGAACGGAAAGGCCCUGCUUUUGUGGGGUGCUCGAGUGGCGAACGGGUGAGUAACACGUGAGUAACCUGCCCUUGACUUUGGGAUAACUUCAGGAAACUGGGGCUAAUACCGGAUAGGAGCUCCUGCUGCAUGGUGGGGGUUGGAAAGUUUCGGCGGUUGGGGAUGGACUCGCGGCUUAUCAGCUUGUUGGUGGGGUAGUGGCUUACCAAGGCUUUGACGGGUAGCCGGCCUGAGGGGGUGACCGGCCACAUUGGGACUGAGAUACAGCCCAGACUCCUACGGGAGGCAGCAGUGGGGAAUAUUGCACAAUGGGCGGAAGCCUGAUGCAGCAACGCCGCGUGCGGGAUGACGGCCUUCGGGUUGUAAACCGCUUUCGCCUGUGACGAAGCGUGAGUGACGGUAAUGGGUAAAGAAGCACCGGCUAACUACGUG
rnacentral:rRNA from 1 species